GGCGGCGUGCCUAACACAUGCAAGUCGUACGAGAAAGUUGGCUUCGGCCGAUGAGUAAAGUGGCGCACGGGUGAGUAAUGCGUGGAUAAUCUGCCCUUUAGUUGGGAAUAACGUACCGAAAGGUGCGCUAAUACCGCAUAAUGCCUGGCAACACAAGUUGUCCGGCCAAAGAAGGCCUCUGUUUACAAGCUUUCGCUAAAGGAUGAGUCCGCGUACCAUUAGCUAGUUGGUGGGGUAACGGCCUACCAAGGCGACGAUGGUUAGCUGGUCUGAGAGGAUGAUCAGCCACACUGGAACUGAGACACGGUCCAGACUCCUACGGGAGGCAGCAGCGAGGAAUAUUGCGCAAUGGGGGCAACCCUGACGCAGCAACGCCGCGUGAGUGAGGAAGGUUUUCGGACUGUAAAGCUCUGUCGAGCGGGAAGAAGUGUACCAUGGCUAAUAUCCAUGAUAUUUGACGGUACCGCUAGAGGAAGCACCGGCUAACUCCGUG
rnacentral:rRNA from 1 species